ensembl:lncRNA
GGGACAUUAAAGUUACUGAACACUCUUGAAACAAAGACUCACAAUGUCUCACUUUUAACUUCUCUCCAAUCGCUUUGCAAUGAGGCGGGAUCGGGAUUUAAAUCAUGGUCGCUUUAGCUUUGCCUUACAGGCCUCCUUUCUGUUUGAUCGGUUGACUGUUUGGAUGCCGAACAGAAUCGUCACUUCACUUUUCCCUGUCCAGCUGUACCCACUACACAUAGCUUCAGAAUUAGGUUUGUUUGCUGUGUUCCCGUGAAAUCCUACCAGCCCUGUGGUCCUCCAAUGGUGUCCAUUCCUCAGUGAACAAUGACUAAAACAGGAUAAACUCUUAAUUAACGGGGGGAAAGUAGCUGACCCAGGACGUUCACUGAGGAGAGGAAACUACUCUAGGCUCCCGGAUGCAGUCAUGAACGCUUUAUAUAGCGUGUCCUGGAUUUCACCUGCUGUUUCCCCUGUUGAACAUCCUAUUCAUUUUCCCCUUCCAAUGUGACGUACUUCUUUUUUUUUUUUUUGUUAGCAUUUCCUUUGAAAAGUGACUCAGUACAUCUGCUUUCCACUGUAUUUGUGCUGGGCAGGGAGUAAAGUGGGAGCUGUGUAGAUUUUUCUUACGAGUGCUCAAUGUUUUUUUGUUAUGAAAAUAAUAAUAAAAAGGAACACGGAUAAAAUGACUGCAUUUUAUUAUGGAUGUACAAAUCCUACUAAAAGUUGUAUUUGUGUACGGUCAUCUCUAAGUUUAUUUACGAUCGUAAAUAAUGGUUCGCUUGCUUGAGUUCUCAAUACAUGAUUCAUACAGAUACAGCAUUCAACUGGAAAGGAGCUCACGUACAUAUCUACUGUUGGUUACACUGAGAUACAGCAAUAUUGCUCAAGUGCACAAGCUUCGCUUACUCUACGGACAACGCUCGUGAACCAAGGAGUCGGAAACGGUCGGCGUAAACGCUAGUUUUGGCAAAUCGCUCUUGAUGAAGCGUAGCAUAGUGGCAGAAUUACAUACUAUAAA